rnacentral:tRNA from 2 species
GGUGGUGUGUCCGAGCGGCCGAAGGUGCAUCACUCGAAAUGAUGUUUGGUGUAAAAGCCAACGGGGGUUCAAAUCCCUCCACCACCGCCC